ensembl:lncRNA LSP1P5 LSP1 pseudogene 5
CAUCCUGCAAGGAUAUUGUGGCUGGAGACAUGAGCAAGAAAAGCCUCUGGGAGCAGAAGGGAGGCUCCAAGACCUCAUCAACAAUUAAGACUCUUUGGCAGUUGCACUGGGUACUGGCUGAGUUCUGGAAAACAGGAAUGUGAGCAGAGUGCUGCAGAUCUCCUUGUCAGGAGCACCUAAGAACUGGCAUGACUCUACACCCUCUCUCCUUCUGCAAUGACCUCGUGUCAAGAUGGCAGACCUGCAGAGAUGAAUGUGCCUGGAUACCUGAGUCACCAGGUGGAGGAAACUCCCAUUGACAUGCAUCACACUCCACAUAUGAAACCCUUCUUUUUCUGCACUGUCACUGGGGUUAGGGAUUAUUACUCACUGCAACUUAGCCUAGCAUUAAGUUGCUUGACUAAUACAAGUUUCAAUAAAUGUCGCUUCAUUUCC